UACGAAGGGGGCUAGCGUUGCUCGGAAUCACUGGGCGUAAAGGGUGCGUAGGCGGGUUUUUAAGUCAGGGGUGAAAUCCUGGAGCUCAACUCCAGAACUGCCUUUGAUACUGAAGAUCUUGAGUCCGGGAGAGGUGAGUGGAAUUCCGAGUGUAGAGGUGAAAUUCGUAGAUAUUCGGAAGAACACCAGUGGCGAAGGCGACUCGCUGGACAAGUAUUGACGCUGAGGUGCGAAAGCGUGGGGAGCAAACAGG
rnacentral:rRNA from 1 species